AUGUACCACUUGUACACUCCGGUUCCUCCGCGCCGGCCACACCCACCUGACGACCGCUCGCUACGUGUUGCUAGCC
rnacentral:sRNA from 2 species